rfam:Bombyx mori DNA, contig: Bm_scaf12_contig9733, strain: p50T/Dazao, build 2, whole genome shotgun sequence.
UUAACUUGAAUUUGUAUGAAGUCGGAUCGUUUGCCUACGUUUGUCGCUAGGGGCGCUGUUCUAACUCCAUACAAAUUCGAGUUA